rnacentral:rRNA from 1 species
UACGUAGGGGGCAAGCGUUGUCCGGAAUCAUUGGGCGUAAAGAGCGUGUAGGCGGCCAGAAAAGUCCGCUGUGAAAACUCGAGGCUCAACUUCGAGCUGUCGGUGGAAACUUUCUGGCUAGAGUCCGUAAGAGGAGAAUGGAAUUCCUGGUGUAGCGGUGAAAUGCGCAGAUAUCAGGAAGAACACCCGUGGCGAAGGCGGUUCUCUGGGACGGUACUGACGCUGAGACGCGAAAGCGUGGGGAGCAAACAGG